rnacentral:pre_miRNA from 1 species
AUCUGUUUGCAUCUUACCGGGCAGCAUUAGAUGGGAAUAUUUAUUUUUCUAAUACUGUCAGGUAAUGAUGUCCUCAGGU